rnacentral:lncRNA from 1 species
AUGGUUUAGUGUUUUGAAAGGGUGUAUAUAGACUUAGUUGAGCAGCAGUAUAAUCCCAUCUGACUGGCUGAAUGAUAUAUUAUCAUGUUGUAUUUUUUAACUUCCAGAGAUUUGGAAAUUGAGGCAUAGAGAGGGGAAAUCAACGAAUUUCAAGGCCAGGACAAGUGUUUGUAAGAGACAGAAACCAUUGUAAGACAACGGAUGGAAAUAGCAGAAUUUAUGGAAUGUGAUUCUUGUCGAAAAUGUGCCCGUUAAGUCUACUCUCAGCAAGGAAUCUUUAUGGAUCUCUGCCGAAGGCAUUGGCCCAACCUGAAAGGACAACAAAUAUAUUCCUAUUGCCAUGGGGGCAUAGAAGACCAUGCUGGGUGAACCAGCUGGUGGUGCAGCCGUGUGGGUGUGGGCCUACGAUGAUCUUACUUGUCUCUCAUGGUGACGACAACACAGAAGUAAAAGAUGACGGACCUCAACAUCCCUUCAUAAACUGUAGAAGAUCUGGGCAUUUGUGGACAUGGUUUUGAUAUUCAAGAUUUCAAGACUUCUCUAUGGGCACCCAAGAUGCAGCCCAUGUGCUUAGCGGGAUCCGUACUAAGUCACAAACGUGAGCUGAUGUCUACGAGAGACCAGCUUUGGAAAGACCGUCACGUAGCACAUGCGAGAGCCCAGGGAACCACACGACACCCAUAUGAAAGCAAGAUUUUCCUCUUCUUGCUGUUAAACCCUGCAGAGAAACUCUCAAGAAGUAA